UCCGGCAGCCAUAUCACCCUGUAGCCCAAGACUGGUUGCCCACUGAAGCUAAGCAGGGCUGAGCCUGGUCAGUACCUGGAUGGGAGAAACGUUAAGUAAAGAAAGCUGAGCAAUAUGGGAC
rnacentral:rRNA from 1 species